AGAGCGAACGCUGGCGGCAUGCUUAACACAUGCAAGUCGCACGGGCAGGGGAAACCCUGUCAGUGGCGGACGGGUGAGUAACGCGUAGGUAUCUAUCCUUGGGUGGGGGACAACCGUGGGAAACUACGGCUAAUACCGCAUGAUGACUGAGGUCCAAAGCUUGUGAGAGCGCCUGGGGCGGAGCCUGCGUACGAUUAGCUAGUUGGUGGGGUAAAGGCCUACCAAGGCUGCGAUCGUUAGCUGGUCUGAGAGGAUGAUCAGCCACAUUGGGACUGAGACACGGCCCAAACUCCUACGGGAGGCAGCAGUGGGGAAUAUUGGACAAUGGGCGCAAGCCUGAUCCAGCAAUGCCGCGUGUGUGAAGAAGGUCUUCGGAUUGUAAAGCACUUUCGACGGGGACGAUGAUGACGGUACCCGUAGAAGAAGCCCGGCUAACUUCGUGCCAGCAGCCGC
rnacentral:rRNA from 1 species